GACGAACGCUGGCGGCGUGCUUAACACAUGCUUUUCGAACGGAAAGGCCCUGCUUUUGUGGGGUGCUCGAGUGGCGAACGGGUGAGUAACACGUGAGUAACCUGCCCUUGACUUUGGGAUAACUUCAGGAAACUGGGGCUAAUACCGGAUAGGAGCUCCUGCUGCAUGGUGGGGGUUGGAAAGUUUCGGCGGUUGGGGAUGGACUCGCGGCUUAUCAGCUUGUUGGUGGGGUAGUGGCUUACCAAGGCUUUGACGGGUAGCCGGCCUGAGAGGGUGACCGGCCACAUUGGGACUGAGAUACGGCCCAGACUCCUACGGGAGGCAGCAGUGGGGAAUAUUGCACAAUGGGCGGAAGCCUGAUGCAGCAACGCCGCGUGCGGGAUGACGGCCUUCGGGUUGUAAACCGCUUUCGCCUGUGACGAAGCGUGAGUGACGGUAAUGGGUAAAGAAGCACCGGCUAACUACGUGCCAGCAGCCGCGGUGAUACGUAGGGUGCGAGCGUUGUCCGGAUUUAUUGGGCGUAAAGGGCUCGUAGGUGGUUGAUCGCGUCGGAAGUGUAAUCUCGGGGCUUAACCCUGAGCGUGCUUUCGAUACGGGUUGACUUGAGGAAGGUAGGGGAGAGUGGAAUUCCUGGUGGAGCGGUGGAAUGCGCAGAUAUCAGGAGGAACACCAGUGGCGAAGGCGGUUCUCUGGGCCUUUCCUGACGCUGAGGAGCGAAAGCGUGGGGAGCGAACAGGCUUAGAUACCCUGGUAGUCCACGCUGUAAACGGUGGGUACUAGGUGUGGGGUCCAUUCCACGGGUUCCGUGCCGUAGCUAACGCUUUAAGUACCCCGCCUGGGGAGUACGGCCGCAAGGCUAAAACUCAAAGGAAUUGACGGGGCCCCGCACAAGCGGCGGAGCAUGCGGAUUAAUUCGAUGCAACGCGUAGAACCUUACCUGGGUUUGACAUGGAUCGGGAGUGCUCAGAGAUGGGUGUGCCUCUUUUGGGGUCGGUUCACAGGUGGUGCAUGCCUGUCGUCAGCUCGUGUCGUGAGAUGUUGGGUUAAGUCCCGCAACGAGCGCAACCCUUGUUCACUGUUGCCAGCACGUUAUGGUGGGGACUCAGUGGAGACCGCCGGGGUCAACUCGGAGGAAGGUGGGGAUGACGUCAAGUCCUCAUGCCCCUUAUGUCCAGGGCUUCACGCAUGCUACAAUGGCUGGUACAGAGAGUGGCGAGCCUGUGAGGGUGAGCGAAUCUCGGAAAGCCGGUCUCAGUUCGGAUUGGGGUCUGCAACUCGACCUCAUGAAGUCGGAGUCGCUAGUAAUCGCAGAUCAGCAACGCUGCGGUGAAUACGUUCCCGGG
rnacentral:rRNA from 1 species